rnacentral:rRNA from 1 species
UACGAGGGGUGCAAGCGUUGUUCGGAAUCACUGGGCGUAAAGGGAGCGUAGGCGGAAAUGCAAGCAAUCUGUACAAUACCGGGGCCCAACCCCGGACCUGCAGAUUGGACUGUUUUUCUUGGAUAGUUCAGGGGCAGGCGGAAUUCCUGGUGUAGCGGUGGAAUGCGUAGAGAUCAGGAAGAACACCGAUGGCGAAGGCAGCCUGCUGGGGACUUAUCGACGCUGAGGCUCGAAAGCGCGGGUAG